GACCCAGUGGUGAAACGAAUCACACCUGCAUUCCGUGUAUUCUUCGAGAUCGCGUGAGCAGGAGCUCCCGGUUCGAGUCCGGGCUGGGUCA